GCAUAUAUGUGCAUAUACAGGCCAUAUAGGUCUCCUGUAUUGCUUCUUUAUAUCCACAUAUAAGCCCUAUAUGUACAUACAAGAUAUGUCUUCUAUAUAGCUCAUGGCAGGAUCUGGUCAUUUUAGCUCAUAUUUCACUUUGGCAACUGUCAUACAUGAUGCGCUCAUAUUUUCUAUUAUCAAGGCAAUAACUAAGAACUAACUAAAUAAAAAACACAUUUUAGAAUUUCUGUCGAGUUAUCUGCUAAUGACCCGAGGCAGGACACGCCCACACGCCAAUCACACAGAAAUCAGUCCGGCUAAUUUACAUACUAGGCCACGCCCCCGGACAAGGAAACUCUUCAGAAUGUUCUGGAAAGUGGGAGGAGUUUACAUUUACCUCAGAAGAAGACUGUGUGGCCCUGACGACGAACGGGAGCAUUUUGAAAAGAGAAUCCAGGAGGACACACUGGAUGCUACAUUGAAGAAGUGGCCGGCAGCCACCCGAGGGCAGACAGGCACAUCUAUCAAUUCAAAGCUCACGAAGCUGAGAAGGUCCUCAAAAUAUAUAUAUGUUUUCUUCCUGUUGAGUUUUUUUGUCUUAUUUUUGUUCUUUUACUAUUUGAUUGUUCUUAAAAAAAUAAAAAAAUUAAAUUUCUACA